ensembl:lncRNA
AUAGAACAAGGCUUAUUUCUUGUCUCAAACUGUCAAAUGUAAUGAGUAUUAAUUGAAGAUUACCAAGUCUUGAGACCAAGUUCCAUUCACAUACUUUCAAUCUUGUAACAGUUCCAUUUGUUUGCUUUUUAUUCAAGAAACACCCAGCACUCACCUGGACUUGGAGAUGCUCGCCAGUAGGGAGAAUUUAACUUUGCUUGGCUGUAACAGGAACGAGCAUCAAGAAAAGCUGUUUGUGCAGGCUCACAUGCCUGGUGGCUUCAGUGCAGCUUGCAGCAGCCCCGUCACACAAAAAACAAAUGAUCAGAAGGCCUGCUAUAGACUUGGACUGCCACUGUGCCAGCUGAAUGAAGAUAGGUACUCAUUUCAAACGGGCAGCUGUGCAGCUGUGUGCAAGGAACCAGCCGGCCUGGUGAGCGUUUCUCUGGACACGGACCUCGAGGUAUGUCGACAGAGGAGAAAGCCUGAGCCCUGGAACCAGAUUUCAGGGCUACAAGGCCAGAGUGCAGACUUCAGUCCAUCACAGUAAGUAUGCAUCUUAUUUCACUGAGUCUUUGACUUAGAGCAGUGUUUUUAUUGAGUAGGUGUGAGUCAUGUCAGGACCUGGUCCUGUCCAAACUCUUCAUACUUGAG